GGGGAAUAUUGCGCAAUGGGGGGAACCCUGACGCAGCAACGCCGCGUGAGCGAAGAAGGCCUUCGGGUCGUAAAGCUCUGUCAUGAGGGAAGAAGUCUCUCGUUUAUAGGGAGGUGACGGUACCUCAAGAGGAAGCCCCGGCUAACUACGUGCCAGCAGCCGCGGUAACACGUAGGGGGCGAGCGUUGUCCGGAAUUACUGGGCGUAAAGGGCGUGUAGGCGGCUGAUUAAGUCAGUUGUAAAAGGCUGCGGCUCAACCGCAGGAAUGCAAUUGAAACUGAUCAGCUUGAGGGCAAGAGAGGGAAGCGGAAUUCCUAGUGUAGCGGUGAAAUGCGUAGAUAUUAGGAGGAACACCAGUGGCGAAGGCGGCUUUCUGGCUUGUCCCUGACGCUGAGGCGCGAAAGCGUGGGGAGCAAAC
rnacentral:rRNA from 1 species